AUUGAACGCUGGCGGAAUGCUUUACACAUGCAAGUCGAACGGCAGCACGGGGGCAACCCUGGUGGCGAGUGGCGAACGGGUGAGUAAUACAUCGGAACGUGCCCAGUCGUGGGGGAUAACGUAGCGAAAGUUACGCUAAUACCGCAUACGAUCUACGGAUGAAAGCGGGGGACCGUAAGGCCUCGCGCGAUUGGAGCGGCCGAUGUCAGAUUAGGUAGUUGGUGAGGUAAAGGCUCACCAAGCCGACGAUCUGUAGCUGGUCUGAGAGGACGACACGCAACACCGGGACGGAGACACGGCCCAGACUCCUACGGGAGGCAGCAGUGGGGAAUUUUGGACAAUGGGCGCAAGCCUGAUCCAGCCAUUCCGCGUGCAGGACGAAGGCCUUCGGGUUGUAAACUGCUUUUGUACGGAACGAAAGGCUCUGGUUAAUACCUGGGGCUCAUGACGGUACCGUAAGAAUAAGCACCGGCUAACUACGUGCCAGCCGCCGCCGUAA
rnacentral:rRNA from 1 species